AUACAUUUUUCAUACAUUCCUAGUAGAUAUCAACUUGGAAUGUAAAUCAGUCAGGAAAGACUACUAUUUUCAUAUUUUUCUAUUUGCUAUAGAGAAAUACCCCUUGAAUACCGUCGCCGCUCCAAUUUGUAUUCCGACAGCUCUGUAAUUUGCAAAAUUGGUUAGACUUUCGGUGUAACAUCGCGCAUCUAUAGCGGGCAACGGACGGUAUGCCCUCUGAAUUGGCGGAGCUCGUAGAGUUCCUUCACCAUGGAAACUCCCAGAUACGGCAAAUAGCAUGUGAAAAUCUUCUUGGAUUCUCGGUAUCUCAGCCUUCACUGUUCAAGGUUCAUCAGCUUCUACCAGUGAGGGAUCUUAAACUACUUGUUCGGGACUACACUCCAAUCUCCAAAAAUGCAUUGACGAUAUUGAUAAACCUCUCCGGCAACGACGAGGUUCUCAAAGAGCUAGCUGAAGAUGAUGCUUUUCUGGAAACCCUCUUGAGUAAAGUCACGAACAAGAAAGAACCCCACGUCAACGAAAUCACCAUGCUCCUCGCCAAUCUCGCUAAAUCCGAUAGCUUCAAGCGCAUCAUAAACCUAACCCGCAGCGUGCCCAAGGAUGUCUCUGGCUCCCCGAAUGCCCUCGACCAAUUAAUGGACUGCUUCAUAAAGGGGCAGGAUGGCGGCAUCAACAAGGCCGCUGACUCCAACUACGACUAUCUAGCCUACGUCUUCGCCGACCUCUCCAAAUACGACGAAGGUAGAGCCUACUUCCUCACUCGACAGGAAUACGACUCCGUCAUCCCCAUCACCAAACUCACCGUCUUCACCGAGCACCGCAGCCACAUCCGUCGAAAGGGCGUGGCGUCGACGCUGAAGAACAUCGCGUUCGAGGUGCAGGCGCACCCGCAGCUGCUCGCGGAGUCCGGGGUGAACAUCCUCCCGUACCUCCUGUUGCCAGUCGCGGGACCCGAAGAAUUCACGGAUGAAGAGAGCGCGGCCAUGCUGCCGGAUCUGCAGCUUCUACCGCCGGACAAGGAGCGGGAUUCAGAUAAGGAUAUCAUCGCGACACAUUUGGAGACGUUGCUGCUGCUGACGACGACGAGGGAGGGCAGGGAGCUGAUGAGGGCAGUUAAUGUGUAUCCGAUCAUACGGG
rnacentral:sRNA from 2 species